GCUGGAUAUGGGAGUCUGGGGCUAAGAGGAGGGGUGUUGGCUAGAUAUAUAAGCUUUGAAGUCAUCAGCCUAUAAAUAUUGACAAAACAAGUGAGGUGGCAGAGGAAUUAGUGAACAUAGAAAAAAAAGAGGUCUGAGGAUUGAGAUCAGAGGCAUGCCCAUAUAUUAAAGAUUAAGGAACAGAGGAAGAAUCCACAAAGGAGAUUGAGAAGGAGUAGUCAGGGAGGUAGAAAGCAAGCCAAGAGACUGUCUCAAGUAGAAGGGAAUGAUCAACUGCUGACUGAUUAAGUAAGAUAAGGACUGAGACUUAGCAACAUGGAGGUCAUCAGUGAUUUUUGACUAGCUCAACCUGUGAGAGUGAAAACAUGACUGAAGUGAGUUCAAAGGGAAGUGGAGGAGUGGUCUUAGAGACAGUGAAUGCAGUCAGUCCUUUAAAUUUUGUCCUGAAGGGGAGUCGAGAUAUGAUAUAAGGAAAAGAUUUUCAUUUUUCCAAUGGAAGAUAAUAUAGCACAUUUACUUGCUGGUGAGAAUGAUCCAAGAGAGGAGGAAAAAACUGAUAAAAGACAGGGAAAGAAGGGACAAAGUACAAUUACUAAAACUUUCAAGGAAGGGGAAGAAACUAAGACUAUAAGUAGAGGGAUUGUCUUAGCUCAGGGGAUGGAACAUGUGUGUACUGUAGCACGCAGGGUGCACUAACAGAUGCAAGUGAAUGUGGUGAUGGGAAUGAGGAGGGGCAUUUUCAGGUUGCUUUAAUUUUCUUAGUGAAUUUGGAGGUAAGGGCAUGAACUUGAAAUGAGGGUGGAAAAGGAGAUAUUGUAGGAAAAGAUACAAAAUAGUCAUUUAGGAGGGUGGGAGAGGAACUAAACAAGGAGAAUGGGGCAGUAAAUAGACUAGGAAGAUGUAGUGGGAUUGCUGAAUAGCACAAAAGUCUCACCGGAGGUGAGUGAUAACGAGUUUAAAUCAGGACCGCCUGGUUUGGAUGUGUAUUUUCUCCUGCCAUAUUAAGCUGCAGGCAUGUGCAAACAUCAUGUGUGGGGAAUUGAAUUAAGCCAGGACUGGGUCCUUUUCAAGAAAAUACAAUGAAAGGAGAGAAGGGCAAGAGAGUUGAAAGUGUAUGCAAGGGAAUUUAUACUGAUGGACUGUAGAAUCUACACAGGGUAAGGACGCGAGGUGAGUGCGGGACAGUGAAAAGGUGGUGGCAUCAGAUUAACUAAUUUUCAGUCCCAAAGGACCAGAAAUAUUUUAGGAAUUGGGAUGUUAGUGGGAAUAAACUAUUAGGUUGGUGCAAAAGUAAUUUUCUUGUUUGUUUGGUUUUUUGUUUGUUUGUUUGUUUUGCCCUUACUUUUGCACCAACCUAACAGGAAAAAUCAGUGGUUAUGGUCAGAAAGUGGGAAGCUUGAAGUUGAGAUUAUCAAGUUAAUAUCAGUGCAGUCAUUGGUAAUGAUAAGUUCUAGGAUCUAAGCAAUGGGAAGAAAGAAGUUGGCUGAAGAAAUGAUGGAAAUUAAUUAUAUAAUUGAAGAAAAAGAAGUCAAGGCACUGAGAGCAUGUUCAGUUGGCAGAAAUUCCAUGACAGCAUCUACAAGGGCAUAUUGGAGAGAGUGAGGGUAAGCUUGGAGUUUUCGCUCGUUGAACUUGUUCUCGUGAGCCUAUGAAUCUGGAGAAUCUUAUCCUUCUGUUCUAGGGAAGUUUUAAAAUCCUUUCUUUUAUAAUUUCUCCCCUCUGUUUUCUACAUUUUGUCUUUCUUAAAGUCCUGUUAGUAAAUGAUGGUCUCCUAGUUCAAUUACCUGAUUUACUUGACUCUUCCAUUUUUCCAUCCCUUUGUCUUUUUACUUAGUUUCUUGAAGACUUACCUUCCAGCCCUUUUAUUGAAUCUGUUAUUUCUGUUACCCUAUUUUCAUUUACCAAGAAUGAUUUCUUAUGCUCUACAUACUCCUUUUUUCAUGUAACCACACAUUCUUAUUUUGCAGAUGUAACAUUUUAUCUUUUUUUUGAGGUCAAUAAUAUGUUUAAGUGUUCUUUUCACUGCACUUUUUGUUACUCCAAGUUGCCUUUAUUCAUUUAUUUGUUUAUUUUAAUCUUUAAUAUUUUAUGUUGGAGACUUUCCUCACAUGUCUGGUGAUACUUGAUUGUUCACACUUAAGAGUGAGGCACUUAAAAAGCAAAUGGGAAGCUUUGUGUGUAUUUGCAGUGUUUGUCAAUUGCUACUGUUUACUGGAGAGCAAUCAGUCAGGCACCUGGUCAUUUCACUGGGAGACUUAAAAAUGUCAGUAUAUAAGUCUUUUCUCCAAUCAGUUGGUUUUGUCAAAGGGGACUCUUCCAAUUCCCUGCCUAGGGAAUAUAAAUCUAGUUGCCAGUGCCCUAACUGCAAGUGAGGGAAAAAGGGUGGGAGUCUCACUAAUUAGUAUAUGGCAUGUAGACUUGACCUUGAUCAUCCUUUUUCAGCCUUACUCCUAUCCUCUACAAAACAUGGUAUCAUUGGGUCUGAAAAUCCCUGGCUCUAUUUCCCUAGAAAUUAAACCAGUUGCCUGCUGGGCUGGUUGGUGUACAGAAGAGGAGAAGGAUUCUGAGGGGUCAUCUCCAAUCCCAUUUUUUUUCAGCCCCAGCCUGCAUCCCUUUCUACAGAAGUAACAACAAUUUCCAGUUUCUGAGCCUUUCCAGGGUUGUACAUCAUUUCAGAGAGGCUUCAGGAUGGAGUUGUGAUAAACGCAUGUGUUCAGUCUACAAUGUUUAACAGGGAGUGCCUCUUGAUUUUUUCAUGUGAAUUACUGAGGAGUAGGUAGUAGACUAUCUUGAUGCCCUUCCUCAUGUCCCUUUGACUCUGAGUUGACCUGCAGCUGCAGUGAACACUUCCUAAGGAUGCUGAUGUCUUCCCCUAUCAAGCACUUGCCUCAUUCUGCUUCUCCGAGGAUUUCCUCCAGUACACCAAGAGCUUGCCCGACACUCACAAGGUAUCCUGGAACUGCUGGGGACUGAAAACCCCUCAACCCAUGAAGAAUGAGGAUCAGUGGAUUAAUAGCAACUGUCCCAUACCUUGGUGGGACUAUUAUAAGGCAUUCUGGUUGGUUCCUCAGAGGUCCCAAAUGGGAUUGAACCAAAGUUGCCCACAGUAAAAACUCAUUCACCAACUCAAUUUUCAUUUCACCCCUCUCAAUUUGCACACUCACUCACUUGUUCUACCUGGGAUACUCUCCAAGAUAAACUCCUGUAUCCAAAGCUUUGUCUCAAGGUCUCAUUUGGGAGGAACUCAAACUAAGAUAAUAGGUACUGGAAGUGACUACAGAAAGUAUAUUAUCAAUGGUAUGGAGGCAACAAAAACCCCAUUAAUGGUGGUGAGUAAGGUGGUGACAAACCCUGGCACUUUGAAGAAUUUCAUUACCCACAAUUGACCCAUGGUGUACUUGGAUGAGGUAAAAAUGAAAGGAGACGCUAACCUUAUGCAAUAGUGCUAACUCCUGAAAGAUAUAGGGCUGUGAUAAUCACAGGAAUUGAAGAGUUGUCUUGUUCUUGUUAACUCCCCUAGAAGAAUUGGGAAAAAAGAAAGAUAGGUUUACAACAUCCAACUACCCAUUCAGAGCAUAGCAAUGAAAGCCAGAAGGUCUCCUUGGGAGAAUCUGAAGAGACCCCCAUUUCCUGCAACCAGAGGGCAGGCUGUUCUAAAAAAAUGACAUUCAGGGGUUCACUGCAAGAGGAAUUGAACUACAGAGCAGACUGAAGACACAGUCCAGGCAGGCCUCUCAUGCAAAAGUCAAAGCCCUAGAGGAAGGAAAUGGUCCUUAAAAACUACUGGGAUGCAGGCAGGCAUCUGGAUAGAUGUGCUAGAUAACCUUGAACCCCUAGAUUCCCUGAACAACCCAGGCUAGCAGGAGUAUCCUGCACCCUGUUACUUGAACAGAACAGCUUCCCUUUGCCUAGAGACUCUACACAGUCCUCCUCUGAAGCAGACACCUCCAAGAUUACUUCAAGGUCUGCUACUUCCUGCCCUCAUUGCCUCUAUUCCAAAAACUGGAAACAAGUCUCAGCAUGCCCUGAGCAGGGUAGCACAUUUCUUGCUGUGAGAGAUAUGACAGAUUGUAUUUUCUAAAGAAGGCUGCAACCAUGUCUCUCAUCCCAAAUGCUCUUCUACAAUGCAAUCUUGUCACUCCUCUACCAAGAGAUGAAACCUAAUUUCAAUGCCCUUGAAUCUAAGCUGGACUUUACUUGCUUUGACCUGUAAUGUACAGAAGUGACACUGUGUGAUUCUUACAGCUGAGUCAUAAAAGGUGAUGCAGCUUCUGCCUUGUUCCUGGGGACAUAUGCCUCUGUGAGAUUGAGCUACUAAAUAACAAGACCACCUACCUUGAGGCUGCCAUGCUGGAAGAAAGCAAAGCCACAUGAAGAGCAAGUAAGCUGGUUGCUUUAGCAAGAUCCUUCAUAUUGAUAGUGAAUGUGCACUUCUGUCUUUCUCUUGUGAAUGCAAACCACUUUUUCAAUAGUCUCACGUUAAGUGCCAAAGAUUGUUGUUUUUGUUGAAUGCAUUCUCUUUAUCAUUCACUACCUGGCCCUAGGAAUUUGUUCAAUGAUCCUCAUUUCUGUUACAAUAUAGUCUUCAGUGACCUUGAUCAUCUUCACAUUCUAUAGAACAUCAUCCUGGCCCAUUAUAUUAAUGACAGAAUAAUAAUUGAACUUGGUUUUUAGGAAGGAGCAAGUAUACUGGUUUUAAAUACUUCAUGCUGAAGGAAUGAGAGAUAAGCCCUACAAAGUUUUGGAAGUCUGCCACAUCAGGGAAUAUUUUAGGGGCCCAAAGAUCCAGGGGUAUGUUGAGACACCCUACUCAAAAGAAUACUUUACAUUUCCUACCACUAAGACAGAGGCACAGCACUUGGUGAGCUGCUUUGAAUUCCUGAGGCAAAAAAAUAACAAUAAUAAAUACUACCCAUGAGAAUAAUGCUCUGAUCUAUUGUAUCAGAAGACUAUUGACUUUGCGGGGGUCUGAGAGAGUAUCUGAAUAGCCUUUUAAAGACUUAAAAAGGCAUUGGCUUAGGAAUUGCACCUUGCAUGGCUAGGUCAUUGUCCUCGAGGAUACAGCAUAUUUGUUGAACCAGUGAUCACUAUAUGCAAUCACUGUGCUGUUUUCCCAGCAUUUGGAAUACACAGGAAUGAUAAUUAAAGGAUACAAGUAGGACUGACUUAAACACACUCCCUUUCACCCAUUAGUGGAAAUUAUGUUUUUAAUUCUUACAACUUUAGGCUCUUCCUGAUUAAAAGCCUUGGUCUCAAGGUGUGUGUACAGACGGAGACAGUAAGUGUUCCACUGCAUCAAUGCAGUGCCAUCUGAGGAUUUGGGCAUCUCCAUACUGACAGGUCAGCAGGCAAAAAUGGGAGUACUAUACUGGCAGGGACACCUGACUGAUUAUCUUGAAGAGUCGGAGUUGCUGCUACAUAAUGGGCCCAGGGAGGAAGAUGUCUAGAACUUGGGGGAAUCACUCAGGCCCCCCUUAGUGCUUCUUUGUCUGGCGAUAAUAGCAGAGAAGCAAUUGAAGUAGCCAUGUCCUCACAAGGGCAAGGUAAUCAAGGCCCAGCCACUCAGAGAUGAAGGUCUGGUCAUACACUGAGCAAGCAAUGAUGACUAGUGGAAGUGCUAGCCAAGGAUUCGGGAAAUCUAGAAGAAGUGGAAUUGGAGAGAGAUGAUGAGUAUAGAUUAUAGCCUUGGGACCAGCUGCAGCAGUGAAGAUUGUGACUUGUUCCACAUAUUCUUCUAUUUUCAGUCAUUUUUGGAGAUUGCAGCCAGCUACAACUCUGAAAUGUCAGUAACAGAGCAAACUAAGGGUGGGCAUGAGAGGAUCUGCUGAGAGCAAGGAAUGAACAUGGUAGUCACUAAUGAUACACUGCCCAUGUUCCCCGGCUCACCUGUUAGCUCCCCGGCAGCUUGCAAACAUGUCUAUACACACUGCCAUCUUCCUACCACGAGUGCCAUAACUCUCUGCUUCUCUGCUGAGGCCCUUCUCAGCUCACAGUGCGAGUAGCCUGCAAGUGCUAAGGGCAUAAUGCCUCCAAGGUCAACUUUAAUCAACGAGGUUCAAGAGUCAGAAGAGUGAAUUCCUUCUGAGAUACAUUCUUUCUGGUUUCUCAGAGGCUCCCCAGAGGAAGUAGGCCCCAGUUGCUUAGGAAAAAUGGAACCUACUUAUUAAGGCACCCCCUUUUUACUUUUCUCCUUUCUUUCUCUCCCUUUCCCCACUCCAUUCCGUGAAGUUCCUGGGAUCACCAAAUAAACUAUCUGUAAUCAAAUCUUUAUCUCACUCUGCAUUCUGGGGAACCCAAACAAAGAUGGUAAGUUUGCCUAUCUACAUUUAUGUCUUAUUUGCUACAAGUAUUACUGGUAAUUUUCUUGACAAAAGUAAUAUGAUAUCUGCUGAUAGGCCAAAAUAAUACAUAUUUAUAGUGAUAACUGCAGCAAAAAUGUGAAAACCAAUUUUAAAAAGUUAUUUUCACUAGUUUAAGAAAAA
rnacentral:lncRNA from 1 species